GACGAACGCUGGCGGCGUGCUUAACACAUGCAAGUCGAACGGAAAGGCCCUGCUUUUGUGGGGUGCUCGAGUGGCGAACGGGUGAGUAACACGUGAGUAACCUGCCCUUGACUUUGGGAUAACUUCAGGAAACUGGGGCUAAUACCGGAUAGGAGCUCCUGCUGCAUGGUGGGGGUUGGAAAGUUUCGGCGGUUGGGGAUGUACUCGCGGCUUAUCAGCUUGUUGGUGGGGUAGUGGCUUACCAAGGCUUUGACGGGUAGCCGGCCUGAGAGGGUGACCGGCGACAUUGGGACUGAGAUACGGACCAGACUCCUACGGGAGGCAGCAGUGGGGAAUAUUGCACAAUGGGCGGAAGCCUGAUGCAGCAACGCCGCGUGCGGGAUGAAGGCCUUCGGGUUGUAAACCGCUUUCGCCUGUGACGAAGCGUGAGUGACGGUAAUGGGUAAAGAAGCACCGGCUAACUACGUG
rnacentral:rRNA from 1 species